rnacentral:rRNA from 1 species
AUUGAACGCUGGCGGCAGGCCUAACACAUGCAAGUCGAGCGGAUGAAGGGAGCUUGCUCCUGGAUUCAGCGGCGGACGGGUGAGUAAUGCCUAGGAAUCUGCCUGGUAGUGGGGGAUAACGUCCGGAAACGGGCGCUAAUACCGCAUACGUCCUGAGGGAGAAAGUGGGGGAUCUUCGGACCUCACGCUAUCAGAUGAGCCUAGGUCGGAUUAGCUAGUUGGUGGGGUAAAGGCCUACCAAGGCGACGAUCCGUAACUGGUCUGAGAGGAUGAUCAGUCAGACUGGAACUUAGACACGGUCCAGACUCCUACGGGAGGCAGCAGUGGGGAAUAUUGGACAAUGGGCGAAAGCCUGAUCCAGCCAUGCCGCGUGUGUGAAGAAGGUCUUCGGAUUGUAAAGCACUUUAAGUUGGGAGGAAGGGCAGUAAGUUAAUACCUUGCUGUUUUGACGUUACCAACAGAAUAAGCACCGGCUAACUUCGUG